AAUCAACGGACAGUUGGACCAGUGUGUCUCCUCACCAUUAUUGAAAGGUAAUUAGAUAGUUUCGUAUUGAGAUAAUUAAUAUUACUAAAUACAACUAAAUAAAUAAGUAGGUACUUUAGAGUAGAAUUAGUAUAGAGAGAGGAAAAGAAAAGAAAGAUAGAGAUAAAAAUAAUAUGUAAGAUUUAGAUUGAUUUGAAGGAGAGAGGUUGUUAACGGUUCUCAAAAAAAAGAAAAAAAAAUAUUGAGGUAAAUAGUUCAAUUAUUGAGAAAGAGAGAAAGAAAGAUAGAGAAAGAAUAAUAAUCAUUCGAAAAAGAGAAAAGAAGUGAAAAUAAAGAAGGGUCAAGAGACAUUAUAUGAGAGAAAGAUGAAGAAAGCGAGAAGUAAUUAUGCUAGGUUUACAUUGUUGCCUAUCUUAUAUUUAUAAGGUACAAUUGACACGUCAGUUUUUCAUAUAGAGUAGUUUUGCAGCUUAUAGUUUAAUAUUAGUAUUUAUAUUUUAAAAUAGAUAGGAAUAUGUUGAUCGUCCGCAUAUAAUUGAUUCAAAUGCUUUAUUGCUUUUAUGUUUCACGCUGGAGGAAAUACAUGGUUCAUUGUGUCAAUUUUCAUCGGAGGAGGUAGAUGGAUCAUUGUGCUACGUCUCACUGGAGUCAGUUCAGUCGCAUGUAGCAUUGCAGUCAAUUGGUCAAAAUGUCAUGGCGCUAUGGGAGUGAAAACAUAAGGUGUUCGAUUUUUGGGGAAGAAAAAUGCUUGUCGAAGAUUUAUGGUCAUCCAUCAAACAGUGGUCAAGUUUUCAGUGAUGAUAUUGGCGACAUAGAUCGCAACAUUUUCGACGUGGGAUCAACCGGUUUUUUCGGUGUCCAGAAAUUAUGGUUACAAUCGAUAAGGAGGAGAAAAAGAAAAUUCGGCUGAUAUGAAGAGCGGUCGUCAUUCUAGAAUUUUUGAGUUCGUAGGAUAGGUUCGGA